CCACCCAUUAUCGAAUUUAACGAGAUUUGAGGAUCCCAUGUGAAGUUGAAGAAGCACUAUCCCCACUGCUAUUUCCCUUUCUAAACAAUUGGAACUCACAGGAAUCAUGCCAACGCUUGUUACUUUGAGCAUCUUGGUCACUGUUUCUGCCAACUAAGAGGAAUGAGUUCCGCUUUUUCUGCGUGUGGCAAGAUUCUCAAGAUGGGUUAUCAGCCAAAUACCAUAAUCUUGAUUACAAUUAUGAGGGGUCUCACUCAAAAUAGAGAGGUGAAGACAGCGUAGCACUUUCAUGACAGGGUGAUAGCCAGAGGAUUUUAGAUGAGCAACAAAACAUUGAUAGGCUUUGCAAGUACAAACUUGUGACUUAUGCAAGUGAAUUGUAUUCUGAAAUGUAAGGGCAGGCAAAAGAUUCAAAUUUUAAGUUUUAAUCUAUGAUACUCUAAAUCCAUAUUGUUUUAUAUCCAUUUAAAUGGAUAUAUCCAGAUCCAUAUUUUUGGAUUUUAAAUCCAAUCCUUGGAUUUGGAUUGGAUAUAUUUUGAUUUUGAAAAGAUAAAUAUCAAUCCAUAUUGUAUUUGGAUUGUAUUUAGAUUGAAUAUUUUGGAUUUUGAAAAUCCAAAAUCAAGAUACGUUUAAGUCGAACUAAGGCGGAUGAGGAUUAGGUUGAAGGUCGAGAAGAGUCAGACCCUACCGAAGGUUAGUUGAAUUAACACGAGUUGGUCUAAAUUGAAGAUUGACUCGAUCCCACCCAACCAAAGAUCGGCUUGAGUCGAUCCCGUCUAAAGAUCAGCCCUAGUUAAUCCUUGUCCAACAUCAGCCUAAAUUAGCCUAGGUCAAAGGUUGACCUAAGUCGGUCUCUAAAGGAUAGCCUGCAUUGGCCAUGUCAAAGGUUCAUCUGGCCCUAGUUGAGUUGGCCAAGGCCGAAGGUCAACCUAUUCAAUCCCGGUUGAAGAUCGAUUGAGUAUAUGCCUAUCACAUGCUAGCCCGAGUUAUUCCCAACCAAGAGCAACCAGUUGCGGCACAAGACCCUGCUAACGUCCCUCUGUAGGUAUAUUCUGUGGUUCUCUCAGUUUGUGUCACCGUAAGGGAAGCAACUGGCUUAUGUGGUUCUUUUUUCCUUGAACUAAGUACUUGUCUUUGCUAUGCUGUGCCUUGUUAGAUUUCUUUUUCCCUUGAUACAUUCUAUAAGGCAGUGGAUGCCACAUCUUGUAUUUCUUAGCACAUUGAUGGAUCUGUCUGCAUAUGGUUAAGAACCUGUUGCCACCAAUGUUGUUGGAUACAUGUUAAAUGCUUUUGGUUA